rnacentral:misc_RNA from 1 species
CCGAUGUUUUUCAAAUGUACAUUCAUAAUUGUUUUAAACAAGUCCAUGGUAAAAAAUGAUCAUCAAAUCCUUGGAUCUUCAGAUUCCUAAUCUUCUGGGGUGUCCAUAUAAUAUAAACUAAUAAAUUGAACCCCAGGGAAAUUCAUGAUCACCCCAUUGCCUAACAGGAGUAUGUUUUUUCCUCCCUUUCUUCUUUGAUGAUAGAGCAUACUUUUCCCUUUCAUAGUUUUGAGUGGAUUUCUUUCAGGUAUAAAUGGAGCCAAUUUCAAGAACAGGCAAGAUGAUUGGAAAAGAAACCAACCAUUACACAUACAAUUCUCGUGAUUUUAAAAGCGAGAAUGAAUCCUAAACUUUGCUUAAAUGCAAAAUUAGAAAUCACAAGACUACCAAACACAACUGGAGUACAAAAAGUCGAUCAUCACGAGUUCUACUCAUGAAUUACCCCUCGUCUUUUUGUUUGCAGGAGUCAUGGAGCUUGGAAUAUAUUUACUAUUUUAUUUUUCAAUUGCCUUCCAUUCAAAUUCAAACUAAGACCUUAACAGUUCUGACUCCAUGAUCUCUUACAUUGCUAUGAAGGUCCUACACUUUAAUAGUACCUGCAAAGCAUCAAAAAUUCUGUACUUAACAAUGGCAAUUCCCAUCUCCCCUUACAACAGUGGGCUGAAAAUUCAGAUUACGAUGUACCAAAAAUAAUUGGAUCCAAUAGCUCUACUUCUCCUUCUACAUACAGAUGACUCGACAAACUCUAGAGACUAAAACAUUCAAAACUCUGGCCUAAAACUGACUCUCACACAAUUUGCAGGGAAGGAAAAGCGGGGAAAGGGAGGAGAGAUCUGAGUUCCCAAGGCUCCUAGUGCUGGAACAAGCAAACCAUUAAGUUAUGCUUAAGGUUGAGGCCCGCUGCCUCCCCCAUUAUUCCAUUUGUGCCUGGGAGUUGACAUCCUGAUCGCUAGAUAUGAUGAAUUUGCAAGGAUCAAAGACAACCUUGGACUUCAGUGUUCAAAUGAUUCAACAAUCCAUCUAUCAAAUUGCCUUCGAUUUCCACCAUCACCGGAGAGCAUUAACAAACCUCAUCAAGGACUCUACAUCCCUCUUCUCUGAGGGGUAUUUAAUAGGCCGAGAGGAGUGUUUGGGAAAGAAAAGUAUUGUUGGAAAGCUUCCCAGCUGUAAUUCUUGCUUGGCAAAUUCUUUCUGAUCACCAUCUGCCCUGAACUUCCCCACCUUCACUCCACUCCCGGCCAACUUAUCAGCCAAUUCAAGAUAGGAAUUUUCCAUGCCCUGGCAGAAUUGGCACCAUGGGGCAUAAAGAACAACAAUCCAUGGUUCCUUUCUGUUCUCCAAUCUUAACAAAUUCGUUAUUCCAGAACUGCUCAAAUUGACCAAAUUCUGCGAGUUGAAGAUAUCAGCAACUCCAGCAGCUCCAUUUGAAUAGGUAGCCCCAUUUCCAUUGCCAUUGAGUUGUGCUAGAUCAUCAUGCUUCAGAUUUCCUUUGUGAAGCCCACAUUCCUUAGCCUUAGCAUCCUCCCACCACCAUCUUCCUUCUCUCUCAUGUUGGCCUGGAAGAACUGGUCUUGUGCAAGGCUCGCAUCCAAUUGACACAUAACCUUGUGAAUGAAGUGAGUUUACAGGCACAUUCAUGGCUCGAAGGAAGUUCCAUGCAUUUUGUCCCUCAACAUUUGCCAUUGGGUUCCACUUGAUCAGACUACCAACUCCACCAUCCAUUCCCUCAAAAACUGGGUCCACCUGAACAACAGGAAUUUCAGACCGAGUGCCUGGGGACUGAUCUUUUCUUUGGCCAGUGAUCCAAGCACGUAGCCCCUUGAGAGCCCUCCUCAAGGGCCUCACCUUUCUCACACGGCAGCACUCUUGGUGCCCAUCCUCAUAGAAAGAGAACAGGCCCUUGCUCCUUACCAAAGCUUGAACUUCAACAGCAUCAGGAAACAUGUAUUCAAUAUGGAUGCCAUAGUGAUUCUCAACAGUGUCAAAGAACUUAUAGGUUUCUGGGUUCAACCUCCCAGUGUCCAGACUGAACACCCUAAAGGGUCUACCGGUUAGCUUAGCAUACUCUAUCAAAGCAACAUCUUCAGCACCACUGAAUGCAAUAGCAAUAUCAUUGCCAAACUUCUCAAGAGCCUUAUCCAUAAUCUCCAAAGGUGAAGAGUUCUCAAGCACCUUGGCCAAUUGUUCAUAGUCUUCCACCUCUAUUUUCUCUGCUACCUCAGACUCAGCUAUAGCUGCCGCAAGCGGGACAAUGGAGUCAUUCCGUUUGGACUCCGCGUUCACCGGCUUCACCGAGCAUCUCCGUUGAGAAAGGCUGACGGCGGCCGGGCGACCCAACAACCGCAAUGAACCAAUUUGGAGAGCUUUGAGCUCAGAGGAGAGCGAAUAAUUGGUAGCAGAAAUUGCAGAAGAAGAAGAAGAGGCAACACUGAAAGCCAUUAAAGAAUACAGAGAACUUGAAUUCUCUAGAAAUGAAAAUUAUUUAAUUAUAUUUCUCUCUGUUGUGUGUGUUUU